GCAUAAUUUAACAAAACUGAAACAAAUUGGCUGCUAAAUAAAGGCAACAGUAGUAUACUGCUGUUUGUAAUUCAUAAAUUGAUAGAGAAAAAACAAAUCUGGGUUACAAUCUAAUACUGAGGGAAACACAUCAAAUAUAAAAGAACUACGACACAACAGAAACACACUAAAAUGUAACAUACACAGAAACGAACUAUAAUGUAACAAUGGGCUUUUUGCUGACUUGGUACAGGGCAUUUUAAUGAAAAAAAUGGUGGGUUGAACCUGGUUUUGUGGCAUGCCAAACCUCCCGCUUUAAUGGCAAUGUUAAUUAUAACAUUAAAAUGACAACAUUACACAACAGGGCUACAAUAAAUAAUUGGAAGAAAUUAU
rnacentral:lncRNA from 1 species